rnacentral:rRNA from 1 species
UACAGAGGUCUCAAGCGUUGUUCGGAUUCAUUGGGCGUAAAGGGUGUGUAGGUGGCGCGCUAAGUCGGGUGUGAAAUUUCGGAGCUUAACUCCGAAACUGCAUUCGAUACUGGCGUGCUUGAGGACUGGAGAGGAGACUGGAAUUCAUGGUGUAGCAGUGAAAUGCGUAGAGAUCAUGAGGAAGACCAGUGGCGAAGGCGGGUCUCUGGACAGUUCCUGACACUGAGACACGAAGGCCAGGGGGAGCGAAACGGG